CUGCAACUGCCUCUUUCUCCUCUGCAUGGAGGAUAGAGGUUGUGUGUGUAUAUAAAUGAGCUUAAGGUACAAAGGUAAUAUUUACACUGGUUGCUGCACAUGCUUUUGCCUCUGCCUCCCCCACUACUCAGGUGAAGCAGAAGGGAAUGUGGCGCUCAGGCUAAGAAAUGUUCAUCACACCUGGAGAUAGGGGUAGCUCUCCUGUUUGCAAGAGUUUGGUGUGCAUGUAGUUCUUUUAUUUCCUAUAUAACGAAUGAAUGACACUUGUCCCCUGCUUUGUCCAUAGGUGCUGGUGGUGUCAGCAGACCGGGAACUGGCAAAAAUGACGUGUUGCAAGUAAUUUCAAGUUGGAGGAAUGCAAAUCCCAGAAAAUGUGCAGAAUCGGACAUGUUCCAUCUGCGCUGCUGUCUUGCAAGAUCCGCUUGCAACAACCACCAUCCCACACUAUGGAGUUUGCACUCAUACAUUAGCAUUACCUUCCACAGGGUAGAUUUCAUUUAAAUCAAAUCUAUUUAAAUGAUUAAUCAUGAUUUAAAUCACUAGACAGUAAGACUUGACUUAAAUCUUUUCUUUUCUUUUUAACAGAAAGUCCCGUUCUUGCUGGUAUAAUCCCAAUAUUUACAACCAGAUGAAGGUUUCAUUUUUGGAAUAAAAAAUUUUCAGAGUAGUUUUUUAAAGUUAUAUAAAAAAUUGCUGAUUUGGUUAUACUAUUAUAAAUGCAUAGAUAGAUAACUUAUUAAACCCCACAAUAAUUUCAUAAUUAACUGUUUAUAUUUGGACAACUUUUCUGCUGUACUUUAUUGGAAGGAGAAAAAUCAUUUCCUUAAUAACAAUUUACUUAACUAAAACAAUAACAUAGCAUAUGUAUCCAUGUUUCUUAACUGAUGCAAUUAAACAAUUAAAAACCAACAACAACAUAGAGUUUUAGCACACAUGAAAAACACAUGAAUAGCCUUCGGACUAUAAUGUAACUUAUACAGAAAAAUAUAUUUAGAAAGCUUUUUUCCUCCAAAGGCAUAUUAUUUUAAAAAUCUAAUUUAAAUUUUAAAAAUUAUUUUUUAUCCACCCUGCCUUCCCAAUUAAAAGUGUAUUUUUGAACGUGUUUUUCUCUCAACAUAAGCACAUUUCUCAACAUAUUUUCUCCAGAUAUGCAAUCUGAUAACAUUUCUUUCAGUUGAGAACGGCAUCAAAAUCCAGUGGAUAGCUAAAGUCCAAUCCGGUCAUGAGUCAAGGAGGUGUGAAACAGGUCAGUGCAUAUCAGAAUCCCUCCUCUGCUGCAUCAUUUGGGGGAAGACUUCUGGAAAGCUGUAUUAGCUGCAUUCAUCUAUGUACCUUUGCAAACAAUCCUCAAUAAAGCUGCAUUGUUCAUCUAGCAA
rnacentral:lncRNA from 1 species